CAUCAUAUGCGGGAACUUGAUUCAUUAGGUGGUUCAUCUUCUGCUGUUGCUUAUUCUCGCCGAUCGGCAAGAACGGAAAGGGCUUUAGAUGAUCCUGUUAGAGACAUGGAGGGAAUGCUUGUUGACGAAUAUGGAAGCAAUUCGAGUUUUCAGCUUCCGGGAUUUUGUAUGCCUCGCAUGCUUAGGGAUGAAGAUGAAGGAAGUGAUUCUGAUGGAGAGAGUUUUGAGGCUGUCACUCCGGAACAUAAUUCUGAAACCCCUGAAGAACGGGA
rnacentral:misc_RNA from 1 species